AGUAGCAAUACUUAGUGGCAGACGGGUGAGUAACAUGUGGGUAUCUGCCCUUUGGCCUGGAAUAACACGAGGAAACUUGUGCUAAUACCGGAUAAGUCUUUACGGAGAAAGCUUUAUGCACCAUUGGAUGAGCCCGCACUUGAUUAGUUUGUUGGUGGGGUAAUGGCCUACCAAGACUGUGAUCAAUAGCUGAUUUGAGAGGAUGAUCAGCCACAUUGGGACUGAGACACGGCCCAAACUCCUACGGGAGGCAGCAGUGGGGAAUCUUGCACAAUGGAGGAAACUCUGAUGCAGCGAUGCCGCGUGAGUGAAGAAGGCCCUUGGGUUGUAAAGCUCUUUCGUCGGGGAAGAAAAUGACUGUACCCGAAUAAG
rnacentral:rRNA from 1 species